UCUCGUCCCAUUCUCCUCUCCAUGCGGUGUACUCGGCAACCACAGGUUCCGGACCAGACUGGUAGGCGGCGCUAGUGUCGCUGACGUGCUCUGUCUGCGGCUCUGUGCUCCCCUCCUCUGCCCGCUGCUCCUGUUGCUCUACCCAGACCUCACAGCUCCGGCCCGUACCGACAUUGACUCACGACGAGUCUACUGAGUCAUACAGAGUCAUGGGGAGUCAUCCAGAGUCAACGGAUUUCAUGGGAGUGAACAUAGGUGUCGAGGAGUCCUUCGGAGACAUCGAAGUCAUCCAGAGUCUAUAAUAGAGUCCUGGGAGUGAAAAUGAGCUCUGUUAGCGGGUUAAGACGCUGUUUAUACGUAUAUCCCGGCUAGGCCGUCCGUCGCUCGGUGUCCGGCGGUCGGUGCGCCGCGCCGCCCGCCCAUGUGUCACGGCUGGCCGGCUGUGCGGGUGUCUCCUGCCCGCCGGCCCGUGAUCAGUCCGUACCACGAGGGCUGAGAGGGGACGGGCCCCGCGGCGGUCAGCAGCAGCUCAGAGAGGCCUCGGCCGGUCAGCCGACGGUGCGGCGUGUGUUCGACGGGUCCGACGGCGGCCUUACAGACGUGAGAACGGACCCGAGCAGCCGAGCUGAGGGCCAGCUGCCCAUUCUGAUCGGCGUGGCCUACACUUGUCAGACACUGCAGCCUAUACUGAUCUUGAAUACACUGUGUAUAUGUGAA